rnacentral:lncRNA from 1 species
UUGGGAUUCACCCAAAGCUCCCCGCAGCAGUAUCCCCGGUGGUCCCAAGAGGCCUGGCUUCACAGGGCCCCCAGAGCGGCCCGGGAGCUCGGGUCCUUGGCGGCCUGGGCUCGGGCCUGCAGGUGCAGGGCAGGGGAAGGAGGGGCGGCCCAGGCCCACCUCUGGGUCCCGGACCCUGUCACUGGCGCUCAGGUGGUCUUCCACCGCCCCGCCCAGGGUUCCCCGCCCCCGGGGUCCCCACCUCCCCACCCCUGGGAUGCCAGGCACCCCCCGGGGUCCCUGCUCCCCUGGGAUCCCCGACCCUCCAUCCCCGCGAUCCCCGCCCUCCCAUCCCCGAGAUCUCCGCCUCCCCGGGGGUCCCCGCCCCCCAUCUCCGGGUCCCCGCCCCCCCGGGGUCCCCCCAUCCCCGGAGUCCCCCAUCCCCAGGAUCCCAGCCCCCCCCGGGGUCCCCGCCCCCCCGGGGUCCCGCCCCCAUCCCCCGGAUUCCAGGCCCCCCCCCGGGGUCCCUGCCCCCUUGGGAUUCCCGACCCUCCAUCCCGGCGAUCCCUGCCCUCCCAUCCCCGAGAUCUCCGCCUCCCCGGGGGUCCCCGCCCCCCAUCCCCGGGAUCCCCGCCCCCCAGGGUCCCCCCCAUCCCCGGGGUCCCUGCCCCCCUGGGAUCCCCGCCCCCCCGGGGUCCCGCCCCCCCAUGCCGGGAGUCCCCCGCCCCGGCGGAGUCACAUGCGCGCGCACCCGGCGGGGGGUGGACCGCUGCCAGUCCCGGGGCAGCCCCGCUCUGCCGCUCGGCCGCAGCCACAGCCACGGCCCCACAGCCACGGCCGGUCCGCGCGGGCUUGGCCAGGUGUGGGGCCGCCGCCCCGGGGAGCCCCUCCCAGCGCGGGGACCGGCCUCCCGGCGCCGCCCGCUCACUGCCGCCGCUCCUCCAGCCCGCGGCCCCGGGUGGGGGUGGUGGGGCCCGCGCGUCCCCCGUGGUCGCCGGGCCAGCCCGCGCACCUGUCCCCGCCGUGAGACGACCUUCCUGGAGCCAAACGACAGCACGUGCUUCUGCCGCAGAAGGUGCCCUCGGGGUCCCGCCCGGGGCUCGAGCCGCUCCGGAGCAUCCACGCCUCCGCCCCCGCCGCCUUUGCUCGUCCUCCCCGGACCCGGGGGGCCGUCGCCCCUGCAGGACCCCUGGCUCGGCCUGGGCGCCCUCCCGGCCUUUGCACAACCCGUUACCAGCUGUGCCAGCUGCGGCCGGCUUCCCUGCUCUUGGAGGCCUCGGUUUGCCCGACUGUGAAACGGGAACAGUGCCUCGUGUGGCCGCCCCGGGCCUUGGGGUCACGCCGGCACCGGUGGAGCGCGCGGGCAGUGCCCGGCUGGCAGCGGCAUUCAAGGCUCUCCGCGGCUCUCAACAGCUUACUCCACUUUCCGUUUCUUCACGCGGUUCUAAGCGUUUCAAGACCUUGCCUUUGCUCAGCAUCUAUCACGAAGGCAGCGUUUCCGUGACCUAUAAACGCCACGUGCAAGGUAUCACACUUAAUGGGAUACUUUUCUGUUCUCCAGCAGCUCCCAACAUACUUAGUCCGUAG